AUGGUUAUUCAUAUUAUAAUAAUCCUGUUAUAAAAUAUCUAGACAAGGCAAAAUGAAUAGAAAAAUUGUAACUAUUAAGGAGCUAGAAGAUAGGUUAGAUGAUUAUAGUAUAAAACUUAAAAUAAGAACUUCAUUCGAUUCUCUAGGUAAUAUAAAAAUAGAUGUAAAAUGAAUAGCUAGAUUAGUAGUUAAAGAUAUAUUUGAUACACAUUUAGAUGAUAGAUAUUUAAGAAUAGCUAAUUUUUAGAUAGAUAGGGAAUAACUUAGUGCAGACU
rnacentral:lncRNA from 1 species